AAUUCUCAACCAUCCCAGCUUCUUCUGGUGUGGCUUGGACUUGGGAGGAAUUUGCAGGCUUCUUUCGUGUUGCCGGCUCUCCUGAAAAGCAUUAGUGGUGUCUAUCUGACUACUAGAGGUGUGAUAACUGUCUAUGCCUCGGUGAUAUGAUUGUGCACGCUGCUUCUAACCAAACUUGGGAGUGGGGCCUUUUAUUGAU
rnacentral:misc_RNA from 1 species